UUUAAAUAACUGUGAUGAAAAUCGCUCAGACUUUACUACUUUAUAAUUUAAUUAAUUUGACCCUUUCCCAGACCAUUUUGAUUAAGUUUUAUAUAACUGAUAUUCAUUUACCACAACUUUUAUUUGGGUCUUUAUUUCGCGGAAUCAUUUAGGUGGGCGUCGUCUCGUCCGGUGACGCCACACGUAUCCUUGUGUGGCGUCACUGGCUUUCGUCUAGGACACUUCUCUAGAGACUUAUUUUACGAACGAUUUCAAAUUUCAGAUAAACUCCAAAUAAAAGAUUAAUUUUUUCUGGACCCAAAGGAGUUUCUGCCAACAGGUCAAAUCCGAAUCGGUGUUAGCACCCAUGGAGAAUUGGUCGCACAGAUAGCAAUCUGCGCGAGCAAUUCCCCAUGGGAGCUUGCACGGGUUCGGGAUUUGGCCAGCUUAAAAGA